UACGUAGGGUGCAAGCGUUGUCCGGAAUUAUUGGGCGUAAAGAGCUCGUAGGCGGUUUGUCGCGUCGGCUGUGAAAACCUGAGGCUCAACCUCGGGCCUGCAGUCGAUACGGGCAAACUAGAGUUCGGUAGGGGAGACUGGAGUUCCUGGUGUAGCGGUGGAAUGCGCAGAUAUCAGGAGGAACACCGAUGGCGAAGGCAGGUCUCUGGGCCGAAACUGACGCUGAGGAGCGAAAGCGUGGGGAGCGAACAGG
rnacentral:rRNA from 1 species